UCAGGAAGCAGCAGGCGCGCAAAUUACCCACUCCCGGCACGGGGAGGUAGUGACGAAAAAUAACGAUACGGGACUCAUCCGAGGCCCCGUAAUCGGAAUGAGAACACUUUAAACCCUUUAACGAGUAUCCAUUGGAGGGCAAGUCUGGUGCCAGCAGCCGCGGUAAUUCCAGCUCCAAUAGCGUAUAUUAAAGUUGUUGCGGUUAAAAAGCUCGUAGUUGGAUGUGUGUCCCACGCUGUCGGUUCACCGUUCGUCGGUGUUUAACUGGCAUGCCCGUGCGGACGUCCUGCCGGUGGGUGCAGCGAGCCGUCGGCUUCUGGCUGGCGUGUUGGCGGCCCGAUUCAAUCCUACCGCGGUGCUCUUCACCGAGUGUCGAGGUGGGCCGGCACGUUUACUUUGAACAAAUUAGAGUGCUCAAAGCAGGCAGUGGUUCGCCUGAAUAUUGUGUGCAUGGAAUAAUGGAAUAGGACCUCGGUUCUAUUUUGUUGGUUUUCGGAACUUGAGGUAAUGAUUAAUAGGGACAGACGGGGGCAUUCGUAUUGCGACGUUAGAGGUGAAAUUCUUGGAUCGUCGCANGACGAACCUAAGCGAAAGCAUUUGCCAUGAGUGUUUUCAUUAAUCAAGAACGAAAGUUAGAGGUUCGAAGGCGAUCAGAUACCGCCCUAGUUCUAACCAUAAACGAUGCCAGCUAGCGAUCCGCCGAAGUUCCUCCGAUGACUCGGCGGGCAGCUUCCGGGAAACCAAAGCUUUUGGGUUCCGGGGGAAGUAUGGUUGCAAAGCUGAAACUUAAAGGAAUUGACGGAAGGGCACCACCAGGAGUGGAGCCUGCGGCUUAAUUUGACUCAACACGGGAAACCUCACCAGGCCCGGACACCGGAAGGAUUGACAGAUUGAGAGCUCUUUCUUGAUUCGGUGGGUGGUGGUGCAUGGCCGUUCUUAGUUGGUGGAGCGAUUUGUCUGGU
rnacentral:rRNA from 1 species